rnacentral:rRNA from 1 species
AUUGAACGCUGGCGGCAGGCCUAACACAUGCAAGCCGAGCGGAUGAAGGGAGCUUGCUCCCUGAUUCAGCGGCGGACGGGUGAGUAAUGCCUAGGAAUCUGCCUGGUAGUGGGGGACAACGUUUCGAAAGGAACGCUAAUACCGCAUACGUCCUACGGGAGAAAGCAGGGGACCUUCGGGCCUUGCGCUAGCAGAUGAGCCCAGGUCGGAUUAGCUAGUUGGUGAGGUAAUGGCUCACCAAGGCGACGAUCCGUAACUGGUCUGAGAGGAUGAUCAGUCACACUGGAACUGAGACACGGUCCAGACUCCUACGGGAGGCAGCAGUGGGGAAUAUUGGACAAUGGGCGAAAGCCUGAUCCAGCCAUGCCGCGUGUGUGAAGAAGGUCUUCGGAUUGUAAAGCACUUUAAGUUGGGAGGAAGGGUUGCUGAUUAAUACUCUGCAAUUUUGACGUUACCGACAGAAUAAGCACCGGCUAACUCUGUGCCAGCCGCCGCAGUAAUAC